rnacentral:rRNA from 1 species
GAUUACCCGCUGAACUUAAGCAUAUCAGUAAGCGGAGGAAAAGAAACUAACUAGGAUUCCGUCAGUAACG